rnacentral:lncRNA from 10 species
CAAGUAGAUACUCGCUUGGCAAUUUUCAAGUAUAUAAUACAUUGUUAUUAACCGUAGUCUCCAUGUUGUACAACCCAGCUCUUGAACUCGUGCCUCCUGUCUAACUGAAACUUUGUAUCUUUUGACCUACAUCUCCCAAGCCCCCAGGCCCUGGGAGCCACCAUUCUAUCUCUACGGCUAUAAGUUUAACCCUUUCAGCUCGCCCAUGUGAGAUCAUGUGGUGCCUGUCUACGUGUGCCUGGUUUGCUUCGCUCAGCACAAUGUCUUCAAGGUUCAUCCAUGUUGUCACAGAUGAUGGGAGGAAAGUACCCAUCUUGACUUUGAUCUUGGUCCUUCCUGGCAUUUCUUUAUAUUUUUACUAUAUAUGUAUAUAAAAAUACUACUUUUACCCCAAAACUAUCCUUUGAAAGGCUAGGAACUGAGACAGGAAUCUGGGUCGACCUGUGGGUGAGAGGAGCCGUCGAGUUGGGUGAAAUGGUUCCCGCUGCCCCCCAGCUCUGUCCCUCACCUCAUGAGUGCCCCCUGCACUGUUGCAGUCAUCAGCUUAAUAGUCUAGCAGGCACUGCUUUCUUGGGUGCUACUGCAUGUGGUGAAGGAGCAUUUUGUGGAUCUAAAGUAGACAGGGAAUAAGCAGAAAAUGCAGGUGGCCCCAGCAGCCACUGAACCGGCCUGGAUUCGGGUGAAGAAAGCAGCGUUCUCCUGGUGUAAACAGACACAGCCUCAAGUGCAAGGCACGCAGCUUAGAAAGUCAGGAAGGCAAAACAAGAUAUUUUAAAAAAUAUAUCUUGGGGGGGAUAUUUAAGACACAAUUAUGGGCCGGUGGGGGUGGCUCAUGCCUGUAAUCCCAGCACUUUGGGAGGCCGAGGCAGGCGGACCACCUGAGAUGCUGUACUUCAGAUUCUAGAAUUAGGAGAAUUUGACCAGCUUAAUAAGUGUCCAAAUAAGUGAUUUCUACUCCCACUUCCUUAACAUGCAAUUGCCGAAUAAACAAACCCACAA